rnacentral:SRP_RNA from 1 species
CCAGAUCUCCCGCAUGGCGUUAUCGUGCUGAACUCCCCCAGGGCUGGAAGGCAGCAAGGGUAGGUACGCUCUAUCGGGUGUGCGGGGGGUCCUAAUA